rnacentral:rRNA from 1 species
CAGAGGCGAUGAAGGGCGUGCUAAUCUGCGAUAAGCGCCGGUAAGGUGAUAUGAACCGUUAUAACCGGCGAUACCCGAAUGGGGAAACCCAGUGUGACUCGUCACACUAUCAUUAACUGAAUCCAUAGGUUAAUGAGGCGAACCGGGGGAACUGAAACAUCUAAGUACCCCGAGGAAAAGAAAUCAACCGAGAUUCCCCCAGUAGCGGCGAGCGAACGGGGAGGAGCCCAGAGCCUGAAUCAGCAUGUGUGUUAGUGGAAGCGUCUGGAAAGGCGCGCGAUACAGGGUGACAGCCCCGUACACAAAAGCGCAUGUGCUGUGAGCUCGAUGAGUAGGGCGGGACACGUGGUAUCCUGUCUGAAUAUGGGGGGACCAUCCUCCAAGGCUAAAUACUCCUGACUGACCGAUAGUGAACCAGUACCGUGAGGGAAAGGCGAAAAGAACCCCGGCGAGGGGAGUGAAAAAGAACCUGAAACCGU